rnacentral:lncRNA from 1 species
UAUUCGUGAUGCAGUGUCAAGAACCAAGAUCUCUCUUAAGCUCUCAAAGAAGAAUCGCAUAAAGCAAUUGUAUUGAAUAAUUGAUAAUCUGUCUACAAUAUGAAAAAAAAGAUGCUUUAUAUAACAUAAAUAAAGACCCAUGACCUUUGCCACUUCCCACUACUAUGCAUGGACCCAUGAUCUAUGCCACUACCCACUACUCUGCAUGGAUCCAUGAUCUAUGCCACUAUCCACUACUGGAUAACUACCCACUACUGUUUAACUACCCACUAC